rnacentral:rRNA from 1 species
CAGUAGCCGCGGGAAUACGAAGGGGGCUAGCGUUGCUCGGAAUGACUGGGCGUAAAGGGCGCGUAGGCGGUUUGGACAGUCAGAUGUGAAAUUCCUGGGCUUAACCUGGGGGCUGCAUUUGAUACGUUCAGGCUUGAGUGUGGAAGAGGGUCGUGGAAUUCCCAGUGUAGAGGUGAAAUUCGUAGAUAUUGGGAAGAACACCGGUGGCGAAGGCGGCGACCUGGUCCAUUACUGACGCUGAGGCGCGAAAGCGUGGGGAGCAAACAGGAUUAGAUACCCCUGUAGUCCCUGUCUCUUAUAC